CCCAAAAGCGGAGGAAUAGAAACCAACAGGGAUUGCCCUAGUACGGCGAGUGAGCGGCAACAGCUCAAAUUUGAAAUCUGGCUCUUUCAGAGUCCGAGUUGUAAUUUGCAGAGGGCGCUUUGGCUUUGGCAGCGGUCCAAGUUCCUUGGAACAGGACGUCACAGAGGGUGAGAAUCCCGUACGUGGUCGCUAGCUAUUGCCGUGUAAAGCCCCUUCGACGAGUCGAGUUGUUUGGGAAUGCAGCUCUAAAUGGGAGGUAAAUUUCUUCUAAAGCUAAAUAUUGGCCAGAGACCGAUAGCGCACAAGUAGAGUGAUCGAAAGAUGAAAAGCACUUUGGAAAGAGAGUCAAACAGCACGUGAAAUUGUUGAAAGGGAAGCGCUUGCAGCCAGACUUGCUUGCAGUUGCUCAUCCGGGCUUUUGCCCGGUGCACUCUUCUGCAGGCAGGCCAGCAUCAGUUUGGGCGGUGGGAUAAAGGUCUCUGUCAUGUACCUCUCUUCGGGGAGGCCUUAUAGGGGAGGCGACAUACCACCAGCCUAGACUGAGGUCCGCGCAUCUGCUAGGAUGCUGGCGUAAUGGCUGUAAGCGGCCCGUCUUAACGCCG
rnacentral:rRNA from 1 species